rnacentral:sRNA from 1 species
AUCUGAUGGGCGUGGCGGUCUUUUCCUCCCAGUGCCGCCGCAUCGACUGGUCUCCUCUGGAGGUUUUGAACCUUCAUACCUAAUACCAAAGCUCGAUGAUUAGAACUCAUUGGCCCAUUU